UGAAGGAGGUUUUUCCAAACUCAUCCCUAACUGAACAUGAGGAUGAAUUGGCAUUAGGCGAACACAGUCAGUUAUUCAGUCUACCACCUGACAGUGUGUUAAAGUUAAAUUCUGUUAGUGCUGCACUAAAAGAAUUGUUAGUAAUAAGUCCAUGCAGCGAAGGAAUUGAACAAUUGUGGGACCGUAUUUGGGCUGAAAAUGGGUGUGGUACGGAAACCCAGAAAUAGCAUGAGUUCAACAUAAAACAUGAAUUAGAAUUCUAGUGGGGGAUCAAGUCAAGUCUAGAAGUGUUACAGGAUGGAAGAGUGAGCCUACAGUUGAAAAACACUGAAAGUGCAUUACCAUUAAGGUAUGAGGUAAAGUAAUAGAGUAUGCAAAUUGUCUAAUGAGAAGUACCAUCUUGUGUGAAUGAAUCCUGUGUAACAGCAAUCCUUUAUAGUUCUGUUGUAGCUAGAAGCCUCAAAUAAUUCUGCUUCUCUUGCUAAAGAACAACUUGUCCUUUACACUCAGAGUGUUGGUGAAGCUGGGUACUUAAAUGGCCCUAAAGAUGUUUCACUUCACUGGCAUUGCAGCGAUGAACAUCAUACAUGGACUCUUUAGGAAAGGAUUUUCAGCAUACUGGGAACACAACUAUCAACAAUGCAACAUUCUAGGGGUGUUAUUUUAUCCUUCAAGAGCC